UUCCUCUAGGCAGAUUAAAUGAAAUGAGAGACGGCCAUUACAGUCUUUGAGGUUUUUACUGACGCGCACGAGAGGUGGCUUAAUGGGGUGUGAAUGUGUGACUGUGCGCACGGCGAUCUGCGUGAGAGUAUGCGUGAGCGCAGGAGCUGGUGCGAUGAAAAGCUCAAUGACCCAAGUGCUACGCUGUGCAUCUUUGCGGUCCAAAUGUCUUGUCGGAGGAUAACGGUCACAAACAAAGUACUCGAUUGCUGAAAGCAGAUGGCACCGUUCCCCGUGGAUCUGGACAACAGUCAACAUGCACACUUCAAGAGGCUAAUACGUGGCAGCUGUACAAGAGGUUGAUGAUAUGUGUGUCAGAGGGGGAGUGCUCAGGAAAAGGAGGCAGCGAGGGUUAAGCCUGCGUGACUACCCUAGAGCUACUGGAUCAGUGCACAGAAGAAGGGAAGGAUGGAUGUGAGAGGCUGCUGGGGUGGCAAGGACAGGGGAAGGGAGGAGGGGUCCGCUGUGCCUCUGGGGGUGAUUGUGGAGGCGAGACUGAAUGGAGCCGGAGCAGGUAAGUGGUUGACGCCAACACCCUGGCACUGGGUGGUAUCCUGAGAGACCUACAUAUGUCUGGGUGUUUGUUGUGGUGGCUGGGGAUUCUCGUGGUGAUAGGGGUGUUUUACCACAUCCCAGAACAGUUGUCGGGGUCUCUGAACCAUGUCUACACCCUGUCUGAGCAAUGCCGUUCCCAUCACACCCUUUUUCUGUGCCACACACAUGCUGGGUUACCAACGCACAAAACACAAGGACUGUAAAUACGAAACAUACAUAAAAUGUUCAGUGAAAGAAAAAAAAAAAAAGGAAAAAAAAGGUCAUUUAGGCACCGUGCUGUAAGAAGGCUCUAAUAACCAUCUGCCAGAAAGCACCAGAUUCUGUGCAUCAUGGUGGCCGCCUUUUGUCAUCUGGCAUUUGACAGACAAACAAAUAGAUUUACACUCCCGAUUACCACAGACCAAGGAUUAUCCCAGUGCAUCUACUGGAUCUGUUUUACAUCUACAGCACAGAAUGAGUCUCAUGAGCUUUACAGCAACUACUCCAUAAGCCAAACAGAUUAAAGCCACAACACAGCACUUGAU